GCCAAUUGUAGUAGAGAAUUCAGUUAUCACCUCUGUGGUUCACAUGAGUCAUAAGUUCAGCCCAUAGGGACUGCAAUUCAGUGAUCUGCCUUGUGAUCUGGAAUCAUCAGUCAGCAAUUGUAUUCUGCCACAUAGAAAGAACUGUCAUGAAAUGUGUUCCAGGACCAAAUGGCUGUGAGGCCUGGUAGGACAGAAACAUCAGUCAGCAAUUGUAUUCCGCCACAUAGAAAGAACUGUCAUGAAAUGUGUUCCAGGGCUGAGGACUGACCCCAGAGCCUUGAGAAUAGUAAGCGAGUGACAUGACCAGCCCUUGCAGCCACACUUGUAAAGAAAUAUGUUUAUGUGGUUUCUUAAUUUAUCCAUCUUUGUUAAGAUGCAACCUUGGUGAGCAGCAGAUUGCCAUCUAACAGAAAGGAAAAAGAUACUACUCUUAGAAAGCUCUUAUCUGUGGAAAGAAGCCUGGCUCCCAAAAUGUUUUUCAAGGAAUAUUUGGUUCACUAAGGUAAGAUGGCGGUAGCUUGCUUUGCAACAGAUUUCUCAAAGUUCAUAGGAGGUAACCAUCAAAUCCUCAGCCAGACUAUCUUUUAAAGUAGUAGAUCUGCAUUUUAUAACUAAGACAGACAUCCCAGAACUUUGAUGUGGCAUUUAAUUCUUCUCGUUCUGACCAAACCUAGCAGUGGCCCAGAAAGCACCCAUAAAUCAACGCAUCAACCAGUGGCCUGUGCAAGCAUUGUUGUGUCUACUCAGGAGGAAAAGAACUGUCCUACUCCCAGGCCAGUGUGAAGAGCUAAUCUCAGAAGCAGCACGGUAGAUGGAAGGCUCUUCAUACAGAACAGGACGUGCUAGAUCACUGAUAGAAAGGCCUAGGAGAGACAGCCCGAGACUCCCUGCUAUGCAGUGUUGUCGAAAGACAGCCUGGUCUACCGUGGGAUUUAUCUACCCACACCUCAACUAGCCCACACUCUCUCCAAGAAGCAGCGGAGGAAGUAAAGCUGAGCUGCACUCUUCUUCCCAUUUAGCUUCCUUCCGUGGACUGUGUCUGUUGUUGCUGUCGUCGUUUCAGAAGACAGCAUAAGCCUGCCUAGAUGCGCGCUGGGAGACACAUGCCUGUGAGAUUUGUUGUUAAACAGUCUUUCUGCUCUGAGGACCCCUACUUCUGCUUCCACAGUGUUUUUUGCAGAGAAUCCAGAAGAGGAAAUCCUUUAAAAAUGUUUUAAGUAAGCAUAAAAUGACUUUUAUAUUGUAAUAGAUUUUAUGUUGAGGUUCUUGGAAGCGUGUCGUAGUCCGUUCUAACCCCUCCCCUCCCCCUCUGCCCACACCUUUGCCCUGCUAUAAUAGCUGUCUCCUUUCUUUAUCCCAGUUGUCGCUCACCUAAGAUUCACACCACGUGCAUUCCAUGGCCUCCCUUAUGGGCUCUUCCUUCUCAUGAUCAAUUUUGAGUUUCAGGACCUGUGUACACAUACGUAUGCGCGCGUAUAUACUGGACGUAAUUUUAAAUCUAGGUUCUGCGUGUGAGGAAAAACACAUAUGAUGUUUGUCUUCUUGAGCCUUGCUUAUUUUAACGUAAUGAUUUCCAGUUCCAAACAGUUUUUUUCAAGCGUCAUGAUUUCAUUUUUCUUUAUUGUUGAAUAAAAUUCUAUUGUGUGUA